rnacentral:rRNA from 1 species
GACGAACGCUGGCGGCGUGCCUAAUACAUGCAAGUCGAGCGAACGGACGAGAAGCUUGCUUCCCUGAUGGUAGCGGCGGACGGGUGAGUAACAUGUGGAUAACAUAACUAUAAGACUGGGAUAACUUCGGGAAACCGGAGCUAAUACCGGAUGAUAUUUUGAACCGCAAGGUGCAAAAGUGGAAGACGGUCUUGCGGACACUUAUAGCUGGAUCCGCCCUGCAUUAGCUACUUGGUAAGGUAACGGCGUACCCAGGCAACUAGGGAUAGCCGACCUGAUGGCGUGAACCGAUAGAUUGGCACAGAGACAGAGUCCCGACUCCUAAGGGAAGCAGCAGUCGGGACUCUUCCGGGAUGGGCGAGAGCCUGACAGUGCACCGCAGCGUGAGUGAUGAUCCGCUACUGAUCGUCAAAUUCUGAUAUAAGUGAAGAAGAAAUGUGUAUAUAACUGUGAAGAUCAUGACGGUACCUGGACAGGAAGCCCCGGCUAACUACGUG